rnacentral:rRNA from 1 species
AGUUUGAUCAUGGCUCAGGAUGAACGCUGGCGGCGUGCCUAAUACAAGCAAGUCGAGCGAACCACUUCGGUGGUGAGCGGCGAACGGGUGAGUAACACGUAGGUGAUCUGCCCAUCAGACGGGGACAACGAUUGGAAACGAUCGCUAAUACCGGAUAGGACGAAAGUUUAAAGGUGCUUCUGGCACCGCUGAUGGAUGAGCCUGCGGCGCAUUAGCUAGUUGGUAGGGUAAAGGCCUACCAAGGCGACGAUGCGUAGCCGACCUGAGAGGGUGAACGGCCACACUGGGACUGAGACACGGCCCAGACUCCUACGGGAGGCAGCAGUAGGGAAUCUUCGGCAAUGGGCGAAAGCCUGACCGAGCAACGCCGCGUGAAUGAUGAAGGCCUUCGGGUUGUAAAAUUCUGUUAUAAGGGAAGAACGACUUUAGUAGGAAAUGGCUAGAGUGUGACGGUACCUUAUGAGAAAGCCACGGCUAACUACGUG